rnacentral:rRNA from 1 species
AACGAACGCUGGCGGCAUGCCUAACACAUGCAAGUCGAACGAGACCUUCGGGUCUAGUGGCGCACGGGUGCGUAACGCGUGGGAACCUGCCCUUAGGUUCGGAAUAACUCCCCGAAAGGGGUGCUAAUACCGGAUAAUGUCUUCGGACCAAAGAUUUAUCGCCUUUGGAUGGGCCCGCGUUGGAUUAGCUAGUUGGUAGGGUAAAAGCCUACCAAGGCGACGAUCCAUAGCUGGUCUGAGAGGAUGAUCAGCCACACUGGGACUGAGACACGGCCCAGACUCCUACGGGAGGCAGCAGUGGGGAAGAUUGGACAAUGGGCGAAAGCCUGAUCCAGCAAUGCCGCGUGAGUGAUGAAGGCCUUAGGGUUGUAAAGCUCUUUUACCCGGGAUGAUAAUGACAGGACCGGGAGAAUAAACACCGGCUAACUCCGG